rnacentral:pre_miRNA from 1 species
AAAAACUGUAGUUUUGCACUGUUUAUAUCUAACGUUUGACCGUUUGUUUUAUUUGAAUUUUUUUAUGGUUAACAUUUUUAUUGUUAUUAGGUAAUAAAACAUGAAUAAUAUUUUAUGUGUAACUUUUUUUAAAAAAUAUAUUUUUUAAAUAAGAUGGACAAUUAAAUAUUGGAUAUGGAAACUUAUAUCUGAAUUUAAA